UACGUAGGUGGCAAGCGUUGUCCGGAUUUACUGGGCGUAAAGAGCGCGCAGGCGGUCGUCCAAGUCGCGUGUGAAAGCCCCCGGCUCAACUGGGGAGGGUCACGCGAUACUGGUCGACUCGAAGGCAGGAGAGGGUAGUGGAAUUCCCGGUGUAGUGGUGAAAUGCGUAGAUAUCUGGAGGAACACCGGUGGCGAAGGCGGCAUCCUGGACCAACACUGACACUGAGGAGCGAAAGCCAGGGGAGCAAACGGG
rnacentral:rRNA from 1 species